AGGGGAUACCCGUAGAGGCUGGACACGUGUGCGGCUCCAUCUUCUACGAAUCCGAGAUCAUCUAAAAUGGUAAAUUUCUACUCACACAAAGGCAAUAAGAUAUAAUCUCAUAUUUUUCUUAAAUUUCAGAUUAAUUAUAUGUGCUUUCUUCUGGACUUGGAUAGGUUUAGAUCUGGUUUCUUGCAUGUGGGGUUAAAGGGUUUAAUCCGAUUUAUUUUUCACUGUAUAUUU
rnacentral:lncRNA from 1 species